rnacentral:rRNA from 1 species
UACGUAGGGACCAAGCGUUUGUUCGGAUUUACUGGGCGUAAAGGGCGCGUAGGCGGCGUGGUAAGUCACUUGUGAAAUCUCUGAGCUUAACUCAGAACGGCCAAGUGAUACUGCUGUGCUAGAGUGCAGAAGGGGCAAUCGGAAUUCUUGGUGUAGCGGUGAAAUGCGUAGAUAUCGGGAGGAACACCAGUGGCGAAGGCGGCUCUCUGGACCAGUACUGACGCUGAGACGCGCAAAGGCGUCGGAUGGAGCAAACGAGG